GUAUAUGAUGAUUUGCACAUUCUCACGACGGUCAACUGUAAUUCUUGCAAUGCAAGGAUGUUUGAUGAUAUUUCAGCUUUGACAAGCUGUGCUGCUGAAA
rnacentral:snoRNA from 1 species